UCGCGUCUUACGACGGCAGUUUCACUAGAGUUCCCAGCGUUACCUGAUGGCAACUAGUGAUGGGGGUUGCGCUCGUUGCGGGACUUAACCCAACAUCUCACGACACGAGCUGACGACAGCCAUGCAGCACCUGUGCACGCUCCCGAAGGUCGGUCAGGUUUCCCCUCCCUACCACGUGCAUGUCAAACCCAGGUAAGGUUCUUCGCGUUGCAUCGAAUUAAACCACACGCUCCGCUGCUUGUGCGGGCCCCCGUCAAUUCCCUUGAGUUUUAGCCUUGCGGCCGUACUCCCCAGGCGGUGUGCUUAUCGUGUUAGCUGCGCUACCGAGGGGGUCGAUACCCCCGACAGCUAGUGCUCAUCGUUUACGGCGUGGACUAC
rnacentral:misc_RNA from 1 species